AUUUUGCCUUAGAAUGAAAUUCCCAGUAAUGGGAACCAUGUAAAUUCCCCCCAACUGUUUUUCAGCUUCUUCACAGCACAGUAGUUGACACAUCCGUGGUGUUUCCCCACCGGCUGGGACCGCCGCACAAGAGAGAGCUCCACAGCCUGACUGCAGAGUACCUAAGGAGGAUAAUCCAGGAGAGCGCGGAGGGCCAUGACUCCAGCGAAGACGCUGUUGCCUGUAUGGAGCUGAUGCUGUGGAAGUGACGGCCAUUGUGACCAGUGACCUUUGGAUGCCACUGUAUUGAUGGAUGCUGUGGACGCUCUGGCUUGGCACAGCUACUGGAGGUUCGCUGGACUUGGAUGCUCUGGCUCGACUUGCUGAACUGCCUGCUUAACCUUUCCCUCCAUUCCUCUCAUCCUGGAACUGAUGCACAGAUUUCAGAGUUCUAGCUCUGUGUUCUGCUGCCAAACCACAGAUCCCACCGCUGAUAUUCUCCUGAAGUGCUCACCAUGGCAGAUCCUACUCAGAAAGGACUUCGUGUCCCUGUGUAGAGCCGGACUACUGCUUUCAAUUACUGCUGUGACUACUGAGCCAGAGCUGCGGAUGAUGGACUGUGAGUCGACAGUCUGGGAGACUAUCUGGAGCUUAGAUUAUACAGGUUGUGAAGUCUUCUACAUCUUACAGAAAGCGAACACACAUCCCGGCAGGCCUGCUGCGGCCGCCAGCCGUAUGCCUGGAGCUCUGGAACAGGCAGCCCGUCUCCUGCAGCAUGAUGGAGGGAUCCAGAGAGGAAGAAGUCCCUGUCCAAGGCAGCCGCAACCUUUGGCUUGGACGGAGCGCUCCGCUGCUCCCCGGACUGCUAAAGACGGAGCCGGGGCGGCAGGCAUGUCCCUGCCUACGGCCUUUUAACAGGGCCUCCUCCCUGCUGUUGCCUGCCUUCCUGCCUGCCAUUAGGAAAAUGUGUACAAGAUAAAGCCUGGGCUCUCAACCAGGUGGGUGUUUUAUGUUUUUUUAGAAUGCUUUUAAUCUAACG
rnacentral:lncRNA from 1 species